GACGAACGCUGGCGGCGUGCCUAAUACAUGCAAGUAGAACGCUGAAGGAGGAGCUUGCUCUUCUGGAUGAGUUGCGAACGGGUGAGUAACGCGUAGGUAACCUGCCUGGUAGCGGGGGAUAACUAUUGGAAACGAUAGCUAAUACCGCAUAAGAGUAGAUGUUGCAUGACAUUUGCUUAAAAGGUGCAAUUGCAUCACUACCAGAUGGACCUGCGUUGUAUUAGCUAGUUGGUGGGGUAACGGCUCACCAAGGCGACGAUACAUAGCCGACCUGGGAGGGUGAUCGGCCACACUGGGACUGAGACACGGCCCAGACUCCUACGGGAGGCAGCAGUAGGGAAUCUUCGGCAAUGGACGGAAGUCUGACCGAACAACGCCGCGUGAGUGAAGAAGGUUUUCGGAUCGUAAAGCUCUGUUGUAAGAGAAGAACGAGUGUGAGAGUGGAAAGUUCACACUGUGACGGUAUCUUACCAGAAAGGGACGGCUAACUACGUG
rnacentral:rRNA from 1 species